rnacentral:misc_RNA from 1 species
UCCGGUUUGUCACCGGCAGUCUCAUUAAAGUGCCCAACUUAAUGAUGGCAAUUAAUGACAAGGGUUGCGCUCGUUGCGGGACUUAACCCAACAUCUCACGACACGAGCUGACGACAGCCAUGCAGCACCUGUGUAUCCGUUCUCUUGCGAGCACCCGCUCAUCUCUGAGCAGUUCGAACCAUGUCAAGGGUAGGUAAGGUUUUUCGCGUUGCAUCGAAUUAAUCCACAUCAUCCACCGCUUGUGCGGGUCCCCGUCAAUUCCUUUGAGUUUUAAUCUUGCGACCGUACUCCCCAGGCGGUCAACUUCACGCGUUAGCUGCGUUACCAAGACAAUUAAGUCCCGACAACUAGUUGACAUCGUUUAGGGCGUGGACUAC